rnacentral:rRNA from 1 species
GUGAGGAAUUUUGCGCAAUGGGGGCAACCCUGACGCAGCGACGCCGCGUGGAGGACGAAGUCUUUCGGGAUGUAAACUCCUGUCAGUGGGGACGAUAAUGACGGUACCCACAGAGGAAGCACCGGCUAACUCCGUGCCAGCAGCCGCGGUAAGACGGAGGGUGCAAGCGUUGUUCGGAAUUACUGGGCGUAAAGCGUAUGUAGGCGGCAAGUUAAGGUCAAUGGUAAAGCCCACGGCUCAACCGAGGAGAUGCAUUGAAUACUGGCUAGCUAGAGGGUGUUAGAGGAAGACGGAAUUCCCAGUGUAGCGGUGAAAUGCGUAGAUAUUGGGAGGAACAUCGGUAGCGAAAGCGGUCUUCUGGGACAUACCUGACGCUGAGGUACGAAAGCGUGGGGAGCAAACGGGAUUAGAUACCCCUGUAGUCC